UGGGGAAUUUUGGACAAUGGGGGAAACCCUGAUCCAGCCAUCCCGCGUGUGCGAUGAAGGCCUUCGGGUUGUAAAGCACUUUUGGCAGGAAAGAAACGUCAUGGGUUAAUACCCCGUGAAACUGACGGUACCUGCAGAAUAAGCACCGGCUAACUACGUGCCAGCAGCCACGGUAAUACGUAGGGUGCAAGCGUUAAUCGGAAUUACUGGGCGUAAAGCGUGCGCAGGCGGUUCGGAAAGAAAGAUGUGAAAUCCCAGAGCUCAACUUUGGAACUGUAUUUUUAACUCCCGGGCUAGAGUGUUUCAGAGGGAGGUGGAAUUCCGCGUGUAGCAGUAAAAUGCGUAGAUAUGCGGAGGAACACCGAUGGCGAAGGCAGCCUCCUGGAAUAACACUGACGCUCAUGCACGAAAGCGUGGGGAGCAAACAGG
rnacentral:rRNA from 1 species